rnacentral:tRNA from 1 species
CUAGCCAAAGAGGAAUUACCUCCUCCUUAAUGA